UUGGCAGAACUGCAUAUGAGCGAAAUGUGGGAUUUCCAUGAAAGUUACUUCUCGAGUUAAAGCAAAUACACCGAUUUGAAAAGAGUUUUAUGAACCUCACCAGCAUAAUCCUUGAACAUGGUGAAGCAAGAGUGGUGGUAAUGUUGCCCGAAAGAUCUUCUGGUACUGCAUUGGUGGGUUGCCCCGGCUGUUACCCCAUGCAUCGUUCUAGGAGACACCGUAAGAGUGGGCGUGAACGGGCA